rnacentral:lncRNA from 1 species
AUAAUAACGUGAGAGUAAGUAAGGAUCCGUAGCAACGCACGGGUAUUUCUACGUAGUAAUUAAUAAUGGAGGCUAUAAUACCCCUCUUUGACUUAAAAUAAAACACCGAACUCGUCCUCUCGCUCGCCUCUCGCACAAUUAACCAAAGAAAACUCUGAACAUAUAAUGCAGAUGGAGUCUCUCUUCUUUAUUACAUCAAAGACAAUCUCUCUCAGUGUCCGAUCUUAUAACACGAGUUCCUCCAUUUUUAUAUGCGGAUAACAAACUUUUAACAUUAAGUUCCAUGUGGACCGAAGGUUUAAUAAUUUAGCUGCUGCUGAUGUAGUGGUUCAUCUUGUCGUAGUACCUGUCCCAGAUCAUGAGCCCUCCAUAGUUCGGCACCUUCUGUGCGAACUGCAGGAUGCCAUAGUAGAGGUCCUUCUGGAACAGGUACGCGUCCCUGUCCGCUUGGUCUUCAAAUCCCUCGAACUGCGGGACGUCUACACGCGUCUCACGAGCACAUACAAGCAAACAUGGGCAAAAAGUAAGAAACAGUACACCAAUCACAAUUAAACAGAGAAAAUAAGCUUGUAAAAUUGAUCUACGCUUUAAAACGAACACGUGGAUAUAAAGAACACGAAAAACGGAGUUGAGAUGCAAAAGAUAUGAUUAAAACAAGAUCCAGGGGCUUUUCUGUGAGAAAAACAAAACUUUUAGGGCCAAACCGCGAAAAUCGAGGGCUUAUACGUAAUUACGCGUAUAAACCGAAGGUUUAACACGCAAAACUCCAAAACGGACGGCGGGUUGAUUUUUAGAAAGAUCAGGGUUUAAACCGAAAAGUGCGAGGGCAGAUCUGUAAUUAUUUUUCAACGCGAUCUGGAGUGCGGGUUGAUUUGCGCAAAAGGCGGGGGCUUAAGAGCAAAAGAGACGCGGCGCGACGCGGUUGACCGUUACGCGGUUCGGUUGACCCGCUGCGAGCCGUCGGAUCUAGAUCCGACAGUCGCGGUCGUCGAUGACAUCGCGACGGCGGCGGAUGGCGGCGAGCGGCGGACGGCGGCGAGCGGCAGUGGGGUCGCCGGAGUAGGCCUAAACAGCGCUCCGGGGCUCGGUUUGGCGCGGGGAUUGCACGGGAAGAGAGCGGGGAACACGGCGAACCCGUUUAGGGCCUUGGCGGGAGCCACGGCGCGGCGGCGCUCACCUUUUGGCAGCGGCGUGCGGCGGAGAGAGGCGGCGGCGCAGGAGCUUGCGGCGGCUAGGGUUUGGAGGGUGCUGGCGCGGGUGCUCGAGGCUGGGGGGCGGCGGUUUAUAUAGGGGUGGUUGGCGGCGGGAUAGAGGUAGGGCGGAUCCCGCGCAGAGAAAACGCGCGGCGGUUGCGGCGUCGGAGUCCGGUGCAGUCGGGGGAGGAGUCCUGGCCGGAUACGGCCGGAGGACGGGGAUGACGGGUGGGUCCCACCCGUCAGGCCGGCGGACGGAAGGGGCCGGCACUGCUUCGCGGGCCGCGGGGAAGAGGCGAAGCGGUGGGCCGCGUGGGCGAGGAGAGCUGGGCCGGCGAGGGAGAAAGAAAGAUGGCCGGCGAGCGGGGAAAGCGGAGGCUUCGCGGGCCGGCGGAAAGGUGGAGCGGGCCAGAGGAGCUGGUGCGCGGCUGGGCCGAAAGAAGGAAAAAGAAGGAGGAGAAAGGGGAAUGCGGCCUAGGAGAGUAAAAGAGAAAAGAAAAAGAAGAGGGAAAAGGAAAAAGAUUUUGGAAAUUGAAUUUAAAUUUGGAAUUCAAAUUUUGAUUCAAACUCAAGCAAUCAAAAAUUAUGCUCCAGCAUGAAUGCACAAUAAACUCCUAGGAUGAAUUAAUUAAAUUAAAGAAAAUGAAAUUAAAUGCCUAGAAUUUAAAUGACAUCCUAAAUUGAGCAAAUUUUUAAUGAAUUUGAAUUCUCCAAAAAUUUGGGUGUUACAAGUUGUGGUAAGUUCUGCCCGACCUAAAUACUUUGGUAUUAGUAGAGAUAGAGAAAAGAUGCAGAAUUGUUAUGCAGUUGACAUAUGCAUACUUAGAGAUUAUCUAAUUGCUGGUUGAAAUUUAAAAAAAUUCUACUUCUUUUGAAUGCAUAUACAUGUAUAUUGGUGACGGCUAGUGAUGUAUUGGCUAGUGACGGCUAGCUAGCAAUGUAUUGGUGGCACUGGCACCAUCAUAUAAAUGUCACCUGUGAGUUAAUUGAAUUGAAUGAUGCACCAUCAUAUAUAUGUCACCGGUUUGUAGACCGGACUGGUUCACGGGAAAGUGUGAAACGUACGAGCAUGCGUGCUAAAAGGUACAAUCUUCAGAUGUGCCUAUUCAUGUGAGGUCCUGAUUCACACCUUGCUAGCUGAACGUAGAAAUCCAUCCCAAGGGGCUACGGGUGGGCAACAGAUAUACUGAAAUAGGACCUUCGCAUCGUCCCAGGUCCGGUCAACACAGGUUGACUGUGAGAGGGUCGAAGACCCUAUUGAUAUAUUUGAUUUGUGCGCACUUUCCCAAAUUUGGAUGGCCCAGUAGUGGACACACGGCAUGGCAUAUGGCGUCAACACUGGACGUACGAUCGUACGCUAGAGGAGAACGUUUCUGGACAUUUGCUCAAGUAUGGGUGAGUUGGAUUGAGGACGUGUAAGGACGGUGCUAUACGGUGCUAGGUGAUCUAAGCUAUACCAGACUUGGAACGCAUGCAGUCACGUAGUACCUGCGUGAGAAUCAGAGAAUGCAAUCGUGCGUUUUUCUAGAAGUCCAUACGAAACCCAUCCAACAAUCUUGCAUCUUCUUCGGCGCCACAAAACCAACGUCCCGCUCUCUACCGGAUCCGGCCCAGCAGCAAGGGCCCACCAAAGUUACGAACGAACCGCUUCCAGGCGGCCGUAUGAGCCUAGAGUUCCCACCAGUCCUGGUUGGUUCGUCUUGCACUCCUCCGCUCCGUCUGCUCCUCCAAAAUAGCCCAAGCUACCCGGUGAGGAUGGUGGCCGGCCGGUGGGGGCUGUGUUGGAGCGAUUCAGUCUGGCCUCCGCCUGAAUGGCGGUUUGACUUCUUGUGGAGAAAAAGAACGCAGCUAUGAGCAGCGUUUGGAACUGAAUCGCGGUUCUGACUGAAACCUGCAGGGAAAGAGUGUGAUACGUGGCUCUACUCAACUGUACUCAGAAAAGAAAAGAAGGCAAGGACCAAGCUCAGUCCCAGUAAAAAGGUCGAUGGGUAUAUAUAUAAAGGAGUUCACUUCACAAGUUCAGACAAUCAAACUUCACUUCACAGAGCUCAGCCCAUCGCCAGCAUCAAUCCGGUAGCAGCAACGGCGUCUCCAACCGUCUCCUUCGUCGCCAUUGCCGUGGCUCUGAUGGCGUUCCUGCAACCCGCUGCCACCAGUCCGCCAGCACCACCAGCGACGGGCGUGCCGACGAGCUGCGCGUACACCCUAUACACCCUUUUCGAUUGCUUACCGUUUCACGGAAAAUAAUAUAUUGAAUGGGAAAAUACAUAUUCCUGACAAGCAGCAUAAGUACCCGCCAGCACAGAAACCAUCUGUUGUGUCGGGUGGCUAAUGUCGCCCGCCAGCAGAGAGCGGUCUGUGUUGGCGAACGCCCGCCAGCACAAACGGUAUUUCUGCUGGCUCAAGGUUGCUGGCAGGUGCGAUAACUGAUAGCACAAAUCUGUUCUAGCCGCCAGCCCAAAUGCUUUCUUUGUAGUGCAUUGAAAAAUCUGCUUUGAUCCAUGUGAACAAACCUGACCGCGCGCCUUCCUACCUGACAAAUCAAAAAGUACUGGUUUCUGAAAGUGAGCCUCCAUUUGGCUUUCUCCAAAAUCUCAUGGGCGAACUAGAGUGAGGCCAGAUGAUGCUCAUACCGGCUAGAACCCAGAGGUAGUGGUGAUACCCCUGAAAAAGUGAAAAGGGUAAACAUGUUUACUGAGAUUUCACAUAUGCGUGGCCUAUCAUUACCUUUUUGCCGUUUCGUCAUGCAUUUCUCCUCGGAGUCGACCAACUUUUGUGUGAUCGGGAGAAAGUACAUGCUGCCAUUGAAUUUCAUGGCCCAUUCCAAUUAUGCCCGUACCACCACGCUUUAAUAGUAACUUUUGAGACAUAUACUCCGCAGAAAUGACUGAUCGAUAAGACCCGCAAAAAUGACUAUUAAGUUUACGGGAUCCAUACUCUUUAGGGUUCUUGCAUGUGACCUGGAUAAUGUUAAUAGCAAUUCCAAAGCAGGCUGCAGGCAACUAAUCAAAAAACAAUUCUCCUGACCCUUGUGCUCUCUGCUUCCCCACGUAUCUUUCCUCCCAUUUUGCCGAUCUUUCAACCUUCGUGCAGACUGUGCAGAGUGAACACUUUGACAGCAGAAGCAUUUCAAGUUAAACCUUUUUUUUUACUUUGACUUGAGGUGAGUAUAGCUAUGUUUAGGUUUUUCCAAAGUUAAACUUUUUUUACUUUGACCAACAAUAUCUCUAAAAGUAAUUUAUUUCAAAACGAAAAAAAAUAUUACUAACAUCAUUUUUAUAUUAUUAAUCUCUAUGAUUAUUUCGUUAUUCAUAUCAUAAUUGAAAAAAAUAAUUAACUUUGAAAAAUUCUAAACCUAGCUAUAUUUUAGGAUGGAGGGAAUUGCAAUCGGCCUAAGGGGGUGUUUGGGAACACCGUGCUAAACUUUAGCACAUGUCGCAUCGAAUGUUUGGCUCCUAAUUAAGAGUAUUAAAUAUAGUCUAAUUAUAAAACUAAUUGCACAGAUGGAGUCUAAUUCGCGAGAUGAAUCUAUUAAGCCUAAUUAGUCCAUGAUUUGACAAUGUGGUGCUACAGUAACCAUUUGCUAAUGAUGGACUAAUUAGCCUUAAUAAAUUCGUCUCGCGAAUUAGACUCCAUCUGCGCAAUUAGUUUUAUAAUUACCUCAUAUUUAGUUCUUCUAAUUAGCAUUCAAACAUUCGAUGUGAUCCUGCUAAAGUUUAGCUCCUCCUAUCCAAACAGCUUCUAAAUCUGUAAAUCAGCCCACACUCCCUUGGCUCCUGCUGGGCUGCUACACUGUCCAGCGGUACAUGUUUACUACUGUGCAUGACUCUUGUCGCGAGGAUCGGAUCUACUUGGUUGAGUUUUUGCUCGAGAGUCAUGACGUGACGUGAGCGUGCAACACUAAAGAAAUUCGUAGCCAUGCCAGCUGGUUUCAGUCAUACACGGUCAACUGCAUGUGCGCAUGCACAAGCUUAUGUUGUGAUAAUCAGAAGCAGGUCGGAAGCAGAUUCUUGCUGUUGCAGUACUGUUGCUGAUCCUGAAGCUUGGGAUAGUGCUGGGAACCAUCUCGUUCAGUCAUUUUCAUUGUAUCAUUGUUGGGCAUUACCACUAAACCUACAGUAGCACGCACACACGCCAUUAAAUACUUAUCUUCUGUAAUCUCUAUCUAAUAUUAAAGUGCAGCAGUUUCUUCCAACCGUCGCAGUUUUUUCAAAAAAAAAUUCAACUUUUUCAUAAUCAACCCGCAGUCCUUGGAAUAGUUCUUGAUGAUUUUACGAAAAGGUUCCCAAACUUUACUGCAAUUGACCCAAAGUCCAAACUUUGCUCCUCUUCUUUUGUCCCGCCUACACAGCACACUCGCCGGCGGCAGCGCGGGACGCGCGCCACCGCUCCGUCGCUUAUGUAGCCAAUCCUCCCCGCGCUCACCACGCACUACUGCCACUCGCGCUAGCGCUGCUCCCUCGAGCUGCACGCUCUACCCACCACCUGGACCUUAGGUGUGAAGGAGAGAGGAGGAAGGGAAAGAAAACAAGGAGCCAAGUUCUUCUUGCAGUCAACCAAGUAGAGCCAUGUGCUAUCGAGGGCAUGGCGCUAGGGAGAGGGGCAUCAAGCAAUUGAAGGCUCGAUUUUGCAUUUGAUUGGAACGAUUUGAAGUGGAUUAUAGAAGGAAGGUGGAUGGAAACGAAAGAGAGGAGGCCUUGUUUACCAACUUUUCUUCAAAUACUUCCCAUCACCUCAACAGAAAGCUUCUGCCUGCUAAUGAACACUCACAUACUGAGCAUGUGUAUUGCUGUUGCCUGAUAUUCUUUGCCUGUAUGCAGACUAGUGCAGGUGCAACAAUGUGGACUGAUGUCACAUUUUGGGGGCUCCUUGUGCCAUUUUUCUACCGUGACAAGUUUGUGUUACCAUUGGUAUGUGAACAUUUCGAUUUGUGUGCAUAUUCUUUCCUAUUCUGCCUCAGUAGUACUAGACACUAGCAAGCCUCAAUAGUCCACGCUAUUAUACAUUUUGAUUGUUGCUAUCCUGACUUGAUUGCAGGCACAAAUUAAAUUCUUUAUAUGUCAAUAUCAGUAUAUCACAGCAGUAUGAUGGUAUCCAGUACUUGCUGUUAUAUUGACUGAUGAAAAAAACAGUGUACAAACUCUAAACUUUGAAGUCAAAAAGUUUGUGUCGAACAUGUCAUUACGUCAAUAAGCGAAGCCUGUGGCCAUUUGAUAGAGGAAUUAGUAGCAGCAACAACAAUCGUUUAAAAAAAAAAGCAGCAGCAGCAUAGCCUUUCAGUUCAAAGCAAGUUGGGAUAGGCUAGAGUUGAAACCCAACAAGAACCACAAAUCAGAGUUCAGGCACAUGAAUAGCUAUUUUCCAAACAUUCAUAUCCAGAGCUAAAUCUUUAGGUAUAUAUAUAUGUAGCGCCGGGCGGUGGCAGCGGAUGGCGGCUGACAACGGCGAUGGGUUGCUCUUGGCUUGCUCGGCAGCCAUCAACUCGAUCGUGUGCCUCGCUCUAGCCUCUAGCUAGCUAGCUAUUUAUGGGCUCUUUAGUCGUCUAGACUAGGGAGCAGAAGAAUAAUCUGUUAAAGUUGGCAUAUACAAUAUGUUCAAGGGAUAUAAUAUACUUGUCCUCUUCUCAUAAAUUUGCAAUUUUAUUCAUAGUGUUCGUUCCCAGGAGCUUUUUACGUUUGGUUCUUCUUGCAUAAGGGGUUGACAGAAAAAAUGGAAAGCUGGCUGGCACAGCGCACUUGAAUGUUUUGUAAUUUUGUUGGCCCAGUAGAAGAACAUGCCUGUAGUGCUUUGGGAUGUCGACGGGGCACGCAAACUCGGUCGUCUAUUUUGUGAGUAAUCCACUGAUGGAACUGCACGCUUGCGUGCUCUGUAAUCAACUAAUUUAUUCUUGUUAAUAUAAUGAUACAUAGCUCUCCUGCGUAUUCGAGAGAAAAGAAAAAACAUGGCAUGUUAGAUCCAUAAGCCUUGCCUGGAUUGAAAAAUGGGUGCUCACCGGCCCAAAAAUAGUAGCACCUUUCAUCUUCCCAGACAGUAUACGUUUUGAGAAGGGAUGAUAAAACUAAACGGAUGCUGCUGCAGCUCAUUCCAUUAUAUAAAACAUGUAGUACGUCAACUCUCUUCUUUCGGCAGCAAAAUUUGGCUCUGUUAAAAAAAAGCAGAAGCCCGUAAUAAAUAAAUCACAUCCAAACAUAUGGGUUAAGGUAUCGACUUACUUCUCACGGAAGGUUAAGAAGGUAUCAAAGUAAACACACGAGAGAUCGAUUCCUGGUUUGAUUUCAGUGCAUCCCUUGUGCCUCUAUAAAAUUAACCUGCCUGGCCUAAGAACUGAAGGAGCAAAGCACGAUCAACAACACACAAGGAGAAAAGCUAGCUUCUUCUCCACAGUCCACACCACACUAGGGUCCUGUUUGGAACAGUUUAAAUCCAACCUAUGACCAAAAUAAGCUGAAGUUAGAAGCCAAACGGCGUGGCGUAUUUUUUUGCAGCUUUUUUUUCACCGUUUUUUUUUUUCGCCGCGCUUCUUCCCACCACCUCCAUUUGUACUAAAACGCAGAAGCUAGUUCAGACCUGCUUCUCAAAUAAGCGCUAUUUCAAUAUUUAUAUAGCUUAUCUGAGAAGCAGUUCUCCCAGCCGCGGUUCCAAACAGGGCCCAGCUGUGCUUGGUUAGCAUGGCACAUGUCGACGAGGGCACAUGCGUUUCAAUAUCUUUACAGAAAAGAAUACUAUCUUGUUAUCAUGCAUGCAUAUAUCUUCAAAGACCACAUAUGGAGAUCUUUGCAAGGAAUGGAUGGUCGUUUAGUAAUAGGCUAUGCAUAUAAGUUAUUUACUUUAUCCAAUCCUUUUUAGAUCAUACAUGAUUGUUUUGUACUAAUGGCUGGAUAUUUCGCACUAUGAUGUAGAGGCUAGAAUAUUCAACUAUUCCUUUAUCUAAAAAUCAUGCAUGCAUAUAUGGAACUUAAUUCUUGUUCGUUCAUUGUUGGAGUGUGCUUGCCGAUUGGUCAACAUAUUGCCACAAUGAAGCUGUUACAGGCAGGUACGUACCUACAGAAAGAACGACACUGCUGAGAGAUUGUCAUGCGCAAUCCAAAUGCCACCGCUGCAAGUUGAGCUGAUCAGCAGUACUGUAGGCCAUUUCUCUGUCAGCUCUAGCAACUGGUUUUCAUCUGUAGUCCAAGAGCAACUCUAGUAACACUUUCGAGUUCGCUGUAGUGCUACUGGCUUUUGAAAGCAAUCUCAGAAUUGGGAUGCCAAAUCAUUAAUUAGGCAGAGGAGGCAUUCAUGACCAGACGAGAGAUAUCGAACCAUGCAUUGAAGUAGCAUACCACACCCAAGAAAGAGAUUGAGGUGAAUACGUACGUAGAUGAUACAUGGGAGAGAUAAUAGAAGAUGGUGUCAUUUAUUUAUUUGGCUCAAUCUAUUCUACAGGAUAUCAUCAUAUUUCAUUCAAUUCGCAUUGUGAUAUUUAUAAUGCAUCCAAAAUCUAUUCUAUCGGAUAUCAUAUGUAUUUCAUUCAAAUCUGGGAGCCAAAGAAUGUAUAUUGAUACUUGAUGGGAUGUGGCAGGCAAGAUGGAUACAGGAGAGGCUAGCUCAUUGCUGUUAGCUUCUUCUUCUUCUCCGACUGAUCGAGAUCGCCAUGGCGCAGCUCCGUUGAAGAUGAUGGACACAGCAGCAGCUGCUGCUAGCUGCUAUUUGCAUUGCUCUUAAUCAUGAUCACGUCUUGCGCUCUGUCAUGUGCGCCCGCGAGGCCAUGAAGCAAGGGUACAAAUAUUUCCGCGGCACAUGCGAAAACCAUGUCACACCUCACCAGUGCUGCUGCACCUUCGCUUUCUCACCCCCGCCGGCGGCCAUGGAAUAAAUAGUGGCGGCGGCGGCGGCGGCAGCGGGCGGCGGCGACGGGUUGCUCUUGGCUUUUGCUGGGCAGCCAUCAACUCGAUCGUGUGCCUCGCUGCUCUGUAUGGGCUUUUUAGUCGUCUAGACUAGGGAGCAUCACAAGAAUUAAUAAUCUGUCAAAAGUUGGCAUGUACUCUAUGUUCAAGAUAUCAUAUACUUGGCAUCUUUUCAUUAUAAUACUAUACAUGAAAUCUAUCUCUGCUUUCGGCAGACAAAUUUGACUCCAAAAAAAAAGCAAAAGCCCGUGAUAAAAAAAUAAAUCACAUCCGAACAUAUAUGGGGUUAAGUUAAGGUAUCGAUUUACUUCUCAUGGAAGGUUAAGAAGGUGUCAUAGUAAACGAGACAUCUGGUUCGAUUUCGUACCUCCCCUGUGCCUCUAUAAAAUUAGCCUUCUUGCUUGGCCUCAGAACUGAAGGAGCAAAGCACGAUCAACAACACAUCUAGCAAGAUCCAAUUAAGCAGAAUAACAAGAGAGCUAGCUUCUUCUCCACAGCCCAUACUCCAUACCACACACUCGAUCCCAACCAUGGCACAUGUCAAGAAGCAGGGCACAGGUUUUGUUCUGCUCGCAGCUCUCCUCGUGGCCAUGGUCAUCUUACCUUGCAAAGCAGCAGGUAAUUAAUACUGUGCAGUUCAUGCAGCAGGUUACUAUAUAAUUCUUUUGUCCUGCGUGCACUGCUAAUAAUAACAGUGAUUAUUUGGUGACAGACUACUGCCACGCGAUCUUCCCGUGCUCGGGCGAGACGUGCAGUAACUACUGCCAGAAGAACAACUACAAGAACUUCCAGACGUUCUGCACGCCGGGCCAGUACUACCCCAACUGCUGCUGCCGAGUGCCGGAUGCAUGAACAGCAUCCGCCGCCGGGAGAAACUAAUUGUUAUCGAGCUGUAUGAUUUAUUAUGUAACGACGGCAUAGAGAGGAUUAGACAUGUUCGCUUCAGCCGGCUGAAAAGCUGAAACGACUGAUUUGUUGUGAGAAGAAAAUACUGUUUGGUGGUUGAUAAGCCGACUGAAUAAGCUGAAGCGAACGCUACUAGGUAUCCAUGAUCCAUGGAUCGGAUGUUGGUGAUGUGAUGACGUUCGCUGCCUUUGAUAAUGCACUUGCUGUAAUCAUCAAGCAGCAUAUAUGUGUGCUGGCAGAUUCAGUAGACUGGAGUAGUCUGGAUAGCAUAUUUGUCCUAUGAAAACAUAUGAUUUAUUAACGCUGCAUUUUUCUUUAUUUGUGCAAAUAUCCUUAAAAACUAUAUAGCUGGGCCAGGCCCAUUAAUAAACAGGCCUGCUAGCUAGUUUUCUUUUAGCCAAAUACGGCCUGGUAGAAAUUAUGUUUCAGCCCAUUCCUUUAAUGCCCAGUACCACAAAGUUAUAGCAAUGUAAAGCUCAGUUACUGGCCGGUCCAAACAUAAAAUCUUUUUUCGUUAGGGGCCAAAAUUCCAUAAAAGUAUCUGCCGAAACUCAAUCUUGGAAAAAGUGGCAACAAAUAAGUGACAUCCAAUUUGCAUCCUAAGAUGGCCAAAUCACGAUCUGCUUCUUCGUUUUCAUGCCUCCCUUGCACCAUUAUAUACCCCACGGUCCAAGGUUAUUAGCCAUGAACAACCGCACGUACUGGAACUAGACAGACCCAAACACAUCGAUCCCCAUGGCGCUUGUCAAGAAGGGCACUACUAGCUAUAGCUCCCCGUCGCUAGCGCUUCUCAUGGGGAUGGCCAUGGCCUUCUUCUCAUCUUGUCGCGCCGCAGGUAAUGCUCUGAUGACAAUGAUAUGUAUGCUCAUUUAGGUUUCAAUGACGUAUGCCGCUGAUGACAAUGAUUUGUAUGUUCAUUUGGGUGUGCCGUCAGACCACUGCCACGCCAUCGUGCCGUGCGAUGAGACGACGUGCUUCGAGUACUGCCAGAAGUACAAUUACAAUAGCUUCCCGACCUUUUUUUAAUUAAGAUAAUGGAGAAGUUCCGGCUUCAGACCCUCAUGAGAGGGGCAUCAGAUCGCGAUUAUUACAGACAUACUAGAGUUCACAUCACACUGGGUUUAACAUUAUUAACCAAUACGUAGAGUGAAAGACCGUCCAUGGGAUGUAAAAAAAAUACAUAGCUCUUGACUCUAAAAACUAGCAAGCCUUGACGAUCCCCUCCUUUUGAUCAUCAGUGUGCUGCAACAAUGCCCAGAACUGAAGCCAAUGUGUCCCCCUAAAUAGCACCUGCAAACAAGUUUUUUACCAUUGUUAAACAUAGUAUCGUUCCUUGUGAGCCAAAUUUCCUAAUGGUAAAUAAUAGGAGGUACCGGACGAACCCUGAAGACGUAAGUCUCUUAUAUACUGCCAUGUGCUAAUUUCCUAAUGGUAAUACAUCCUAAUCUUCAUUUACUGUGUACCUGCAGAUGCCUACCAUCGACAAUAAGUAUAACAAGAUCGAAGACAAACAAAUUAACAAUAUCUGUACGGACAUGGCGAGGUUCAUCCUACGCGAGAUUUGUCAUGAGGAUGGAGCAUUCUUUGAUAAAGAUGGCAUGUUGAUGGCGGACGAGUGCACAAAUCUUCGUAGAUGGGCGUAGUAGUUUUAAUAUUAGCGUGGCAAAUAAGCUCUAUUCCAAAUGUUAGAUUUUUAAUAAUGUGAAUUAUAUAUUAUGUACAAUGCAGUUUUUAAUAAUGUGAAUUAUUUAUUAUUUAAGUUUGUUGUUACAUGGUUGGAGAUACAUGUUUCAAUUUGACAGUUUGGCUAAAAACUAGCGGAAAAUAAAAAUUAUAAAUAACUCACGGAAAAUAAUAUAUUGAAUGGGAAAAUACAUAUUCCUGACAAGCAGCAUAAGUACCCGCCAGCACAGAAACCAUCUGUUCUGGCGGGUGGCUAAUGUCGCCCGCCAGCAGAGAGCGGUCUGUGUUGGCGAACGCCCGCCAGCACAAACGGUAUUUAGGCUGGCUCAAGGUUGUUGGCGGGUGCGAUACCUGAUAGCACAAAUGUGUUCUACCCGCCAGCGCAAAUUGCUUUCUUGUAGUGCAUUGAAAAAUCUGCUUUGAUCCAUGUGAACAAACCUGACCGCCUUCCUACCUGACAAAUCAAAAAGUACUGGUUUCUGAAAGCGAGCCUCCAUUUGGCUUUCUCCGAAAUCUCAUGGGCGAACUAGAGUGAGGCCAAAUGAUGCUCAUACCGGCUAGAACCCAGAGGUAGUGGUGAUACCCCUGAAAAAGUGAAAAGGGUAAACAUGUUUACUGAGAUUUCACAUAUGCGUGGCCUAUCAUUACCUUUUUGCCGUUUCGUCAUGCAUUUCUCCUCGGAGUCGACCAACUUUUGUGUGAUCUGGGAGAAAGUACAUGCUGCCAUUGAAUUUCAUGGCCCAUUCCAAUUAUGCCCGUACCACCACGCUGUAAUAGUAACUUUUGAGACAUAUACUCCGCAGAAAUGACUGAUCGAUAAGACCCGCAAAAAUGACUAUUAAGUUUACGGGAUCCAUACUCUUUAGGGUUCUUGCAUGUGACCUGGAUAAUGUUAAUAGCAAUUCCAAAGCAGGCUGCAGGCAACUAAACAAAAAACAAUUCUCCUGACCCUUGUGCUCUCUGCUUCCCCACGUAUCGUUCCUCCCAUUUUGCCGGUCUUUCAACCUUCGUGCAGACUAUGCAGAGUGAACACUUUGACAGCAGAGUGAACAAAGCAUUUCAAGUUAAACCUUUUUUUUUUACUUUGACUUGAGGUGAGUAUAGCUAUGUUUAGGUUUUUCCAAAGUUAAACUUUUUUUACUUUGACCAACAAUAUCUCUAAAAGUAAUUUAUUUUAAAAAGAAAAAAAAUAUUACUAACAUCAUUUUUAUAUUAUUAAUCUCUAUGAUUAUUUCGUUAUUCAUAUCAUAAUUGAAGAAAAUAAUUAACUUUGAAAAAUUCUAAACGUAGCUAUAUUUUAGGAUGGAGGGAAUUGCAAUCGGCCUAAGGGGGUGUUUGGGAACACCGUCCUAAACUUUAGCACAUAUCGCAUCGAAUGUUUGGCUCCUAAUUAAGAGUAUUAAAUAUAGUCUAAUUAUAAAACUAAUUGCACAGAUGGAGUCUAGUUCGCGAGAUGAAUCUAUUAAGCCUAAUUAGUUCAUGAUUUGACAAUGUGGUGCUACAGUAACCAUUUGCUAAUGAUGGAUUAAUUAGCCUUAAUAAAUUCGUCUCGCGAAUUAGACUCCAUAUGUGCAAUUAGUUUUGUUAUUACCUCAUAUUUAGUCCUUCUAAUUAGCAUUCAAACAUUCGAUGUGAUCCUGCUGAAGUUUAGCCCCUCCUAUCAAACAGCUUCUAAAUCUGUAAAUCAGCCCACACUCCCUUGGCUCCUGCUGGCUGCUACACUGUCCAGCGGUACAUGUUUACUACUGUGCAUGACUCAGGAUCGGAUCUACUUGGUUGAGUUUUUGCUCGAGAGUCGAGGUCGAGACCCAUGAGGAGACAUGACGUGAGCGUGCAACACUGAGCCUGUUCGCUUGAGCUUAUAAGCUGGCUGAAAAACUGAAAUGGCUGAUUUGUUGUGAGAGGAAAACACUAUUUGGUGGCUGAUAAGCCAGUCGAAUAAGCUGAAGCGAACAGGCCGACUAAAGAAAUUCGUAGCCAUGCCAGCUGGCUUCAGUCAUACACGGUCAACUGCAUGUGCGCAUGCACAAGCUUAUGUUGUGAUAAUCAGAAGCAGGUCGGAAGCAGAUUCUUGCUGUUGCAGUACUGUUGCUGAUCCUGAAGCUUGGGAUAGUGCUGGGAACCAUCUCGUUCAGUCAUUUUCAUUGUAUCAUUGUUGGGCAUUACCACUAAACCUAUAGUAGCACGCACACACGCCAUUAAAUACUUAUCUUCUGUAAUCUCUAUCUAAUAUUAAAGUGCAGCAGUUUCUUCCAACCGUCACAGUUUUUUCAAAAAAAAUUCUCAACUUUUUCAUAAUCAACCCGCAGUCCUUGGAAUAGUUCUUGAUGAUUUUACGAAAAGGUUCCCAAACUUUACUGCAAUUGACCCAAAGUCCAAACUUUGCUCCUGUUCUUUUGUCCCGCCCACACAGCGCACUCGCCGGCGGCAGCGCGGGACGCGCGCCACCCCUCCGUCGCUUACGUGGCCAAUCCUCCCCGCGCUCAACACGCACUACUGCCACUCGCGCUAGCGCUGCUCCCUCGAGCUGAACGCUCUAUCCCCCACCUGGACCUUAGGUGUGAAGGAGAGAGGAGGAAGGGAAAGAAAACAAGGAGCCAAGUUCUCCUUGCAGUCAACCAAGUAGAGCCAUGUGCUAUCGAGGGCAUGGCGCUAGGGAGGGGGGCAUCAAGCAAUUGAAGGCUCGAUUUUGCACUUGAUUGGAACGAUUUGAAGUGGAUUAUAGAAGGAAGGUGGAUGGAAACGAAAGAAGAGGAGGACGCACUCCUGCUCAUGGUGGCCAGAGGCGUUGUGGCUUAGCGCUCGAACAGGAAUGAGGCUAGGCACGGGGAGGACGAGUGCUUGCCUAGGCGACGGCGAGGACGGCAAGAUGCGCAACGCCUGGGCAAUGGCAUGGGGCAAGAUGCGGGUGGUGCCGAUGGACGAAGAUGCAACAAUUGGUUGGAUGACGAUGAGUACGAGGGAAAUCGAAUGAAUGGAUAGAGCGGAGGUUAAGCGGUGAAUUUUUUUAUUUCCAUAUGUGGGUCCCACAUAAUAAACAGAUGACAUCAAAAUACCCACAAAUAUCUUCUACUACUAUACUUGCAAAGAGACGCACCAACGCAUUGUGAAGCGAAGCCAGCAUAUUGGAACAAUCGAAUAAUAACGUGAGAGUAAGUAAGGACCCGUAGCAAUGUACGGGUAUUUCUGCGUAGUAAUUAAUAAUGGAGGCUAUAAUACCCCUCUUUGACUUAAAAUAAAACACCGAACUCGUCCUCUCGCUCGCCUCUCGCACAAUUAACCAAAGAAAACUCUGAACAUAUAAUGUAGAUGGAGUCUCUCUUCUUUAUUACAUCAAAGACAAUCUCUCUCAGUGUCCGAUCUUAUAACACGAGUUCCUCCAUUUUUAUAUGCGGAUAACAAACUUUUAACAUUAAGUUCCAUGUGGACCGAAGGUUUAAUAAUUUAGCUGCUGCUGAUGUAGUGGUUCAUCUUGUCGUAGUACCUGUCCCAGAUCAUGAGCCCUCCAUAGUUGGGCACCUUCUGUGCGAACUGCAGGAUGCCGUAGUAGAGGUCCUUCUGGAAUAGGUACGCGUCCUUGUCCGCCUCUGGCGACGCCACGACGCCGACGAACACCCGGCUCCCCGGGUACGCCGCCGCCCACUUGUUCC